UGGGGAAUAUUGGACAAUGGGCGAAAGCCUGAUCCAGCCAUGCCGCGUGUGUGAAGAAGGUCUUCGGAUUGUAAAGCACUUUAAGUUGGGAGGAAGGGCAGUAAGCGAAUACCUUGCUGUUUUGACGUUACCGACAGAAUAAGCACCGGCUAACUCUGUGCCAGCAGCCGCGGUAAUACAGAGGGUGCAAGCGUUAAUCGGAAUUACUGGGCGUAAAGCGCGCGUAGGUGGUUCGUUAAGUUGAAUGUGAAAGCCCCGGGCUCAACCUGGGAACUGCAUCCAAAACUGGCGAGCUAGAGUAGGGCAGAGAGAGGUGGAAUUUCCUGUGUAGCGGUGAAAUGCGUAGAUAUAGGAAGGAACACCAGUGGCGAAGGCGACCACCUGGGCUCAUACUGACACUGAGGUGCGAAAGCGUGGGGAGCAAACAGG
rnacentral:rRNA from 1 species